AUGCCCCCAUCGUUGCCAAAAACCCCUAAAAUUCGCCUCCGGGACGCCCUCAUCGCGGCCAAAAAAAACCCCAAACUUCGCGUCGGCGCCGGGCGGGCCCCAUUUUCCCCGAUUUCCUCCCCAAAACCAAACCUUCUCCCGGCAGAACUUCCCCCUCCUCCCGACAUCGCGGUGACGCCGGAGAAGCCGGAGUACCUGAUCGGCGACACCGUCUCCAUCCGCUGCGCGGCCCCCAGGUCUACCAGUAGGGUCCAGGGCUUCCAGUUCUCCAGGACGGGGCGUUGGGUGGACGUCAGGAGCCCUUGGAGGACCUACACCUACACCUUCAACGUCACCGGCCCCAAAGACGGCGGGGCGCACACCUGCACCUACACCGUCACCGACCGCUACCGCCGGCCCGCGCGCUCGCGGGAGAGCCGAGCCGUUGACAUCAACGUUAGAGACCUGCCGGGCCCUCCAGGCCUGCUGCUGGACCCCCCCUCGGGCGAAGUUCGGGCCGGGGACACCCUGGGGGUGACGUGCGCGGCCAACGGCAGCGGGGCGGGCGAGAGGAGGUUCUACUUCUACAAGGACGGCGCCGAGCAAUUUUCGGAGACCGGGGCCCGGGACCGGGUCCUCCUCAGCCUCCCCGUGGCCAAAACCACGGCCGGGAGCUUCUCCUGUAGGUACGAGGAGAAGGUGAGCGAGCGUUGGGUGCCCUCGCCGCUCAGCCGCGUGGUGGUGGUCACCGUGAAAGCCCCGGCUCUGCCCGUCCCGCUGGUGGCCGGUUGCGUCGCCGCCGCCGCCGCGCUGCUCCUGGGGCUGCUCGUGGCCGUCUGCUUCUGCCAGAGGAGGAGAGGUGAGCAAAAACGGGGGGAAAACGGGAAAAAUAACGUGAAAAAUCACUUUAGGGGCACAGCGAGGAGAUGGCGUUGGGUUGAGGGCCUUGAGGGCGCGUCCUUAGAUGGAGGAACCCCAAAAUCGCAAAGUUUCCCCCCAAAAUCCAAGCAAGUGUGGGAUGUUUGGGCUUCCCAUGAACCUUUUCGGGAGAAACAGCCCAUUUUUAACCAAAAAAGGGGGAUUAAGGAUAAAAAAAAACACUUUAGGGGCACAGCAAGGAGAUGGCGUUGGGUUGAGGGCCUUGAUGGCGCGCCCUUAGAACGGCGAACCCCAAAAUCCCAAAUUUUCUCCCCAAAAACCGAGCAAGUGUGGGAUGUUUGGGCUUCCCAUGAAGCUUUUCGGGAGAAACAGCCCAUUUUUAACCAAAAAAGGGGGAUUAAGGAUAAAAAACCACUUUAGGGGCACAGCAAGGAGACGGCGUUGGGUUGAGGGCCUUGAGGGCGCGUCCUUAGAUGGAGGAACCCCAAAAUCGCAAAGUUUCCCCCCAAAAGCCAACCAAACAUGGGGUAUUUGGGAUUGCCAUGAGCUUUUUCUGUAGAAACAGGCACUUUUUCACCCAAAAAAGGGGAUUAAGGAUAAAAAAAAGCACUUUAGGNGGGAAAUGGUUAAAAAAAUGGGAAAUGGUUAAAAAAUUGGGAAAAUGGUUAAAAAAGGUGGGAAAUGGUUAAAAAGGUGGAGAAAUGGUUAAAAAGGUGGGAAAUGGUUAAAAAAGGUGGGAAAUGGUUGAAAAAUUGGGAAAAUGGUUAAAAAGGGUGGAAAAUGGUUAAAAAAAGGUGAAGAAACUAAAGAAUAGGGCAGGAAAAAUGAAGGAAAAAGGAAAAUUAUUGAAGGAUGUGGGGAAAUCGAAAAAAGAGGCAGAGAAAAAAAGUAGAGAAAUGGUUAAAAGAGGAGGAAAAUGGUUAAAAGAGGGGAAAAAUGGUUAAAAGAGGAGGAAAAUGGUUAAAGCAGGGGGAAAAUGGUUAAUGGGGGGGGAGAAAUUAAAGAAGGAGGCAGAAAAAAAUUGAAGGAAUUGGGGAAAUUGAGGAAGGAGGCAGAGAAAAUGAGAAAGGAGGUGAAGAAACUGAAAAGGGAGAGGGAGAAAUGGGGGAAAAAGUGGAGAAAUUGGAAAAAGAGACGGAAAAUUUGUAAAAAGAGAGGGAAAACUUAAAAAAAAAGGGGAGAAAAAUUGAAAAAAAGAGGGAAAAUUUGAAAAAGAUGGAGAAAUUGUUGAGGGAGAGAAGGAAAUCCUUGAAGAAAGCGGGAAAAUUGAGAAAAGGGAUGGAAAAAUUGAAAGAGGAGGCAGGGAAAUCAGUGAAAAAGGAGGGAAACGGCCCCAAAAAAAUUCUCUGAGGUUGCUGACCUUUUUUUUUGGGGUGUUUUGGGGGUUUUUUGGACAGCCCCGGCUCUGCCCGUCCCGCUGGUGGCCGGUUGCGUCGCCGCCGCCGCCGCGCUGCUCCUGGGGCUGCUCGUGGCCGUCUGCUUCUGCCAGAGGAGGAGAGGUGAGCAAAAACGGGGGGAAAACGGGAAAAA
rnacentral:lncRNA from 1 species